UGGGAAUUAGUUCAGCUUGGCUAGAACGCUUGAUUUGGGAUCAAGAGGUCGCAGGUUCAAAUCCUACAUUUCCAA
rnacentral:tRNA from 2 species